CCGUAAACCCCUCGAUCCAUUCGAGAAGUUCCGGACGGGAAUGCUAGAACCCCUCGACAGCUCGCUGCCUCCCGCGCCCCAUCCUUUCCUCCUUCUCCCCGCCGCCGCGGUCUCCGCUCCGGACGGGCAGCCAUGGAGGAGUACCUGGAGAACAUGAAGUCCCUCCGCUCCUACAUGAACGGUGCAUGCUUCUCGAGACCCCAAAUCAAAUCCCCCAUUCCCUUCCGCAUCUCGGGUCUGAUUGUUCCGUCGCCGCGAGGGGGCGGUUGUGUGAUGGGCUGCAGAUCUGGAGGAGGACGCGGCGAAGCGGUCCGCGGAGGAGCAGCAGCAGCGCACGGCCAUCGACGCCCACGACGCCGACAUCGCACUAGUGAGGGCGCAGGCGAAGCAGGCGAGCGAGGAGGCCGAGCAGCUGGCCAAGGCGAGGGCGCAGGUCUGCGUGGAGAUGGCCGAGAAGCAGGGCAGGAUCUCCACGCUGGAGGUCGAGUGCGCCACGCUGAAGCAGGCGAACCUUGGAGCUCCUCUAUCAGGAAAUUGCAAGCACAUCUGCGAAACUCGAUGAAAAAAAGAUUGUUCUACACAAAGACGACAGAAAACAUGACUGUCAAACUACAGGAGCAACAGGAAUGGCUUGGUUCAUUUAAGAUUAAGAUGAUUAUAAGGGAGCCACAUGUUGCCGCAUCUCAGAGCAAUCAAAACUUGAUUGAAGGUAUGCAUUCCGGUGAGAACAGAGGGGAGAGGCAUGGGAUGUAUAACUCAGAAGGGAGCCUGGAUAAGUUGGAUAGUGAUGUUGGCAACAAGCAAGGGGAUCUCAACACUCAACUAGAGUCAGCUGAGCUCAAGAUACAAGACAUCAAAUCAAAAAGAUUGGCGCUUCUUUCAGAAAUCAGCGAAAUUAAGCAGAUUCUAGAGCAAGAGAAAAACAUAAUUGCUGGCUUUCCUCCUGCACUACAGCAGAUGGAUAUGAAGUCCUUGGAGGAGGAAUACAAAGCUCUACAAGGUGAUAAAGCUCAAGAGGCUGAGUACCUCCAGUCCCUUGAAGAAACGAUUAAUGAAGUGAAGUCCGUUUCUGCUCCUGUUAAAUGCCGUUGUGAACUGGAGUACAAGGUAGAACUAGGUGGUGAAGCCAUGGAUAUGAGCUAAACAUGGACCCUUGACCACAGUCACCCUCUGUUCUCAGCUUGUAUAUGCGUGACUGCUUUGGAACAGAGCCUUAAAUCUUCUUAUGGAAGACUAUUAAACAUGGAGAACCAGGACGAUUACCAAAUUAAAAGAGAACCCCGCAAGCUAAAGAUCCAAUCCAAGGCGGCUGGAUUCAGACUCCAGCAAAGGUCCACAGUAUCAGACUGGCUUCUACCCCACCUACUGAACUUUAUGUCAAUGUAUUUAUUCUCGAGAACCAAUUGUCAUCCCCAACAUCUACUUGCAACCCUACAGUAACCCUUCACGCAUCAUCCCUAAUCAGCACGGCAGUUGCAGCACCACCAUUAUCCCUUUUUGGGAAUGUUCUUCCUUUUGAGAUGCGGCACCGCCAUUACCAAUCUGCACAUGUCCUAGGGUAGCAUCCCAAGCGCAGGACUCGUGUUUCUUGAGAUGGGCUCAGGUGGAGUUAGCGUUUUUUUGGUGAUCAAUCUUUGAACAACUAUACUACCCUCCAAAAUUCCCCGUGUAGAAACUUCUCCCCAAUAGCUGGGUAGCGAUGAGCAUGAUAAACCACUUACCUACGAGGACCCUGCUGCUCGGCGUGCACCUCUCCCUCUCCUCUUUCAUUUUCUCUGUCUCCCCCCUCGGGCCCUUGAAAAGUCAAAGCAAGCUACUCUUGCCAAACUAGCCUUCUCUACAUAGCCAAUCAACUGGAGCAUGACUACAGGCCAACAAUUGCAACCAAAGCGUCAACUCUCAGCCAUGGCCUCAGUGUAGAAGGGGAUCCAUCAUAAUCGGCAUCGCCCAUGGAGAUGCUGGCGAGCGCCUCGGAGGGCGUCAUGGGCGCCCUCGCCGAGAAGCUCAAAGCGCUCCUUGGCAACGAGUACGCGCUCCAGGCCGGCGUGCGUGGCGACAUCAGCUUCGUCCAGUCCGAGCUGCGGAGUACGCACGCCUUCCUCCUGGACCACGCGAGGUGCCCUUGUCAAGGAUUGGGCAAGAGAGGUACAGGAGCUCGCGUAUGAUGCCGAGGACACCGUUGACGACUUCACACAUCGUGUUGAUGUGCCAGCAUCGGUGGGGAUACCUGCCAUGGUCAAACACUUCGUCUCCACUCUCAUGGCUCGCCGCAAGAUCGCCGAGCAAAUGGGCGGCCACCGAGCCGGGCGCUCGAGGUGAGCGAUCGGCGCAAGAGGUGUGACCUCUCGGUGCCCUCCGACGCUCCCAGCCCCGCUGUCGAGUUGCCGCCCACGGCAUACGCUGAGACGACCAAUCUGGUUGGCAUCGACGGCCCACGCGAUGAGGUCAUUGGUAAGCUUAUGAGUGUCAGAACAAAUCAUGCAUCUGGCCGCCGUCGCGUGGCCUCCAUGGUUCGAUUUGCCGGCGUGGGAAAGUCCACCCUGGCCAUGGCCGUGUACGAAAGCCUCGAAUGCCAGUUUCAGUGCCGAGCAUUCGUCACCGUGUCCAGGAAAUUUGACAUCAGAAGGGUUCUCAAGGACAUGCUACAGCAGGUCAUGAUCAGUACUGGGAGUUCCUCCAUGCUGGAUCCGGCCAUGUCAGGUGUUGAGACAUGGGAGGUCAGGCAGUUCGCGGACAAGCUCAGAGAUAAUCUGCAGGACAAGAGGUGAUUCGCCGUGCCAACUCUAGCUGCACUCUUAUUUCCAAUGUGCAUUUUACUUUCAUCGGUUGGGCCUAGGGAUGAUUAAUUGUCAUUGCUGAAUCAAUGAAAUAUUAAGGGUCUCUUUGGACCGAAGGAACUUCUAGGACUAGAUUCCUAUAGGAAUUUUCUCUUUGGAACAUAGGAUCGAAUUGGAAAUUUUUCAUAAGAUUCAGUCA